AUGGGCUCCAGACUCCUUCCCUGGGUGCUGCUGUAUCUUCUGGGAGCAGGCCCUUUGGAGGCUGAAGUCACCCAAACUCCAAGACACCUGAUCAAAAGGACGGGACAGACAGCAACCCUGAAAUGUUCUCCUAUGUCUGGGCACAGCAGUGUAUCUUGGUACCAACAGGCCUGGAGUCAGGGCCCCCAGUUCAUCUUUGAGUUUUAUGAAACUCAGCCAAGAGCUAAAGGAAACUUUUCGAGUCGGUUCUCAGCAAAACAGUUCCACGACUUUAGCUCUGAGCUGAACGUGACCUCCUUGGAGCUGACAGACUCCGCCCUGUACCUCUGUGCCAGCAGCUUGGCACAGCUGUGCUGAGUCACCCGCACUCUGCGCAC